rnacentral:lncRNA from 1 species
UUUUACAGUUGAUGAUGACUAAUACUAAUACACAGCUCAGGCCCAGGGCCAGCCUCCAAGCUCACUGCCUGAGCUGGGCUCAGCCUGCCCUCGGUGCCCUGAAGGUCUCCCUCCAGCUUUGCUCUAGCUGGGCCUGUUGCUCAACUUCUCUUCCUUCUCCUGGGGUGCAGGAUGUCCCCUGCUCAGCUUGGCCUUCAGAGUUUGUGGAGCUCAGAGUAUGCACCCGUGCCAUGGAUCCAGAGCCACAGGGACAUCUAAGCCACAUCUCACUCAGCUGCUGCAGCCACCUGUCACAUGUGGCUAGAAUCAUAGAACAGCUCCAGGUAUCAAAAGGCUUGUUUGGGGCACCUCAGAGGUUUGCAUCCACUCCCAGAGGCCACAGAGAGAGAGAGAGGCCUGGGAAGACUGUCAAGAAGUGGAAAGUUAAUAAAUUCUGUGUCACUCUGAAGACCAUGCUCUCAAGGCUCUCUAGGCCAAUAACCACGAUAAACUUGAGGAGCC